GAUGAACGCUGGCGGCGUGCCUAAUACAUGCAAGUCGAGCGAACAGACGAGGAGCUUGCUCCUCUGACGUUAGCGGCGGACGGGUGAGUAACACGUGGAUAACCUACCUAUAAGACUGGGAUAACUUCGGGAAACCGGAGCUAAUACCGGAUAAUAUAUUGAACCGCAUGGUUCAAUAGUGAAAGACGGUUUUGCUGUCACUUAUAGAUGGAUCCGCGCCGCAUUAGCUAGUUGGUAAGGUAACGGCUUACCAAGGCAACGAUGCGUAGCCGACCUGAGAGGGUGAUCGGCCACACUGGCACUGAGACACGGUCCAGACUCCUACGGGAGGCAGCAGUAGGGAAUCUUCCGCAAUGGGCGAAAGCGUGACGGAGCAACGCCGCGUGAGUGAUGAAGGUCUUCGGAUCGUAAAACUCUGUUAUUAGGGAAGAACAAAUGUGUAAGUAACUAUGCACGUCUUGACGGUACCUAAUCAGAAAGCCACGGCUAACUACGUG
rnacentral:rRNA from 1 species